AAUGCUUGAGCUCAAGCUAUGGAUUGUCUUGCGAUGCAAGCAUGGAGUACGGCAGAGGCGGAUGGAAUCCGCGGUGUAGCACUCAAAUGCAGAGAUAUGAGGAGAACACUGAUGUCGGAUGGCUGUCCCGUGGGCGUGCACUGACGCUCAUGCUAAGACAGAGUCAGGAGCAAACAGGAUCAGAUACCAUGGUAGUCCACGGCGUCCACGAUGUCUAAUGUUUGUUGGGCCUUAGGUGGCUCAGUAACGAAGCUAACGUGUGAAGUCGACCGCUUGGGGAGUACGGCCGCAAGGUUGAAACUUAAAGGAAUUGGCGGGGACGGCACAAGCGGUGGAUGAUGUGGUAUAGUUCGAUGCCACGCCAACCACCUUACCUACGCUUGACAUGCCAGGAAUCAUGCAGAGAUGUGGGAGUGCUCGCAAGAGAGCCUGGACACAGUUCCUGCAUGGCUUUUGUCAGCUCGUGUCGUGACAUUUUGGGCUAAGUCCCGCAAAGAGCGCAACCCUUCCCAUUAGUUAUACGAAAGCGCACUCUAAUGAGAGUGUCGUAGACAAACAAGAGGAAGGUGGGGAUGACGUCAAGUCCUCAUCCCAUUAUGGGUACGGCUACACACGUCAUACAAUGGCGCGUACAGAGGGCUGCCAACUUGCGAGGGGGAGCCAAUCCCCCAAAACCGGUGCUAGUCCGGCCUGCAGCCUUCAACUCCCCGGCCCCAAGUGGGAAUCCCCAGUAGUCGCGGAUCACCAUGUCGCGGCGCAUACGUCCCCGGCUCCUGCCCCCAGCCCCCCUCA
rnacentral:rRNA from 1 species